AACGUAGGACACAAGCGUUAUCCGGAGUUACUGGGCGUAAAGGGCGUGUAGGCGGACCUAUAAGUCUAUUCUGAAAGCUCCUGGCUAAACUGGGAGAGGCGAAUGGAGACUGUAGAUCUAGAGUGAGGAAGAGGAAAGUGGAAUUCCGCGUGUAGUGGUGAAAUGCGUAGAGAUGCGGAGGAACACCAGUGGCGAAAGCGACUUUCUGGUCCUUAACUGACGCUGAGGCGCGAAAGCAUGGGGGAGCGAACGGG
rnacentral:rRNA from 1 species